rnacentral:rRNA from 1 species
GGCGUAAAGAGUCUGUAGGCGUCCCGCCAAGUUUUCUGUUAAAUUUCUAGGGCUUAACCUUAGAGCUGCAGAAAAAACUGGUGGGAUAGAGGGCGUUAGAGGCUGAUGGAACGGUCGGUGUAGGGGUGAAAUCCGUUGAUAUCGACCGGAACACCAAUGGCGAAGGCAGUCAACUGGCCCGAUUCUGACGCUAAAGCACGAAAGUGUGGGUAGCAAACAGGAUUAGAUACCCUGGUAGUCCACACCCUAAACGAUGAGUACUAGACGUUGAGCCUUUUAAGGCCCAGUGUCUGAGCUAACGCAUUAAGUACUCCACCUGGGAAGUACGAUCGCAAGGUUGAAACUCAAAGGAAUUGACGGGGGCCCGCACAAGCAGUGGAGCAUGUGGUUUAAUUCGAUGCAACGCGAAGAACCUUACCUAGGCUUGAAACGCAAGUUAAAACUGAUGAAAGUCAGUGUGCCGCAAGGCGAACUUGUACAGGUGCUGCAUGGCUGUCGUCAGCUCGUGCCGUGAGGUGUUGGUUAAGUCCAGCAACGAGCGCAACCCUUAUCAUUAGUUGCCAACACUUCGGGUGGGAACUCUAAUGAGACUGCCUGGGUUAACCAGGAGGAAGGUGAGGAUGACGUCAAGUCAGCAUGGCCCUUAUGUCUGGGGCGACACACGUGCUACAAUGGCCAGCACAGAAGGCAGCAAAGCCGUAAGGUGGAGCAAAUCCCUAGAGCUGGUCUCAGUCCAGAUUGUAGUCUGCAACUCGACUACAUGAAGUUGGAAUUGCUAGUA